CACACACACACACACACACACACACACAGACUCACACACACACACACACACACACACACACACACACUCAUACACAGAGACACACACUCUCUCACACACACACACAUACACACACUCAUACACAGAGACACACACUCACACACACACUCACAGACACACACUCUCACACACUCACACACACACAUACACACACUCAUACACAGAGACACACACUCACACUCACAGACACACACUCUCACACACUCACACAUACACACACUCAUACACAGAGACUCACACACACACUCACAGACACACACUCUCACACACUCACACGCACACUCACAGACACACACUCAUACACACAGACACACACACUCACAGACACACACACUCUCACACACACAGACACACACACACUCAUACGCACACAUAUACACACACUCAUACACACACAGAGACACACACUCACACACACACACUCACAGACACACAGACACACACACAGACACACACACACACAGACACAUACACACUCAUACACACAGACACACACAGACUCACAGACACACAGACACACACACACACACACACACACACUCAUACACAGAGACACACACUCUCUCACACACACACACAUACACACACUCAUACACAGAGACACACACUCACACACACACUCACAGACACACACUCUCACACACUCACACACACACAUACACACACUCAUACACAGAGACACACACUCACACUCACAGACACACACUCUCACACACUCACACAUACACACACUCAUACACAGAGACUCACACACACACUCACAGACACACACUCUCACACACUCACACGCACACUCACAGACACACACUCAUACACACAGACACACACACUCACAGACACACACACUCUCACACACACAGACACACACACACUCAUACGCACACAUAUACACACACUCAUACACACACAGAGACACACACUCACACACACACACUCACAGACACACAGACACACACACAGACACACACACACACAGACACAUACACACUCAUACACACAGACACACACAGACUCACAGACACACAGACACACACACACACACACACACACACACACUCACACACACAUAUGCGCGCGCGGCAAGCCCUCCCUGAAGUGAGAAGAGGACCCUCCCCUGACAAAAAUUGAGAUAUCCCUCUCCCUAACCCUCGCCGUGUGGCCCGGUGUGUGCACCCAUUUCUCAGAAGACACUGCCAGACUAGAGCUCCAGCAGUGAUUCCUGUCCGCUCUGAGACCGGAUUCUGAUUCUUUCCCGCAUCACCCACAACCCCAGCGAGGCGCGGCGCGGCGCCCACAGGCAGGGCGUGGGGCCGGCAGCGCGCCGUAAUGACAGGGCCUGUGGGUGGCGGCCGUGGGGGAAGCAGGCGGAAU
rnacentral:lncRNA from 1 species